rnacentral:lncRNA from 1 species
AUGGUUUUCCUGGUAAUUUGUCAACACCUUCUGAGUUCUGAUCUUGUCCUCCAGGCAGUUCCUUCUAGGACUGUCUUUUCCUCAGGUACAGUAAUUCUCUUUAUAACUCUCUAUUCAACCAUCCAGGCUGCACAAAGCAUUGACUGGAAUAUGAGACAGGCCACCUUUACAUUUGUUAUGUCCCUUUAUUUUGCCAGUGAAAAAUACAUUUUUUUAAGGUAUAUUGUGUAACAGUUUGCACACGUUUAUGGCAGUUUCAGCUGGACCAUGUUUGCCCUGCUUCCAUGUAAAAUAAUGCUGGUCAGUGGGAUUUCUUCAUUGCACCAAGUUUAGGAAAAAAAGUUUAUUUUCCUGUAAGAGCAAG